rnacentral:tRNA from 4 species
GCCGGAGUGGCGGAAUGGCAGACGCACCGGAUUCAAAAUCCGGCGAGGUUCACCCCUCGUGUGGGUUCGACUCCCACCUCCGGCA